rnacentral:lncRNA from 1 species
CUCUCAACUCCCAUUCCUCGGCCGUUCCGAUUCGCCGCCACGGCCGGUGGCCGGCGUCGCGCAAAGGGGGCUCCCGAUCCGCACGUUGAAGCACCUUUAAAGGUUCAAGCCUUGGAAAGGGGAAUCGAGGAGAAAACAAGAUCUUUGGCCCCCUCUCAAGCCCGAAUCCGACGACGGCAAAGGACCAUCGCCGGCCGGUCUAAGGGCCGAUUCAGGUGCACUCCCUCUUCCUUUUUUUAUAUUUAUUUUCUUUAUUAAAACGAAGUGGUAAAAAGAAAAGGAUAAAAUAAAAUAAAAUGAAAAUGCAAAAUGAAAAUGAAUAGAAACCGGUAAAGGCUUAACCUUUUUGAACUUCUAUUUUUUUUGUUUUUGAUUUCUAAUGUGCGUUUUUUUUACCAGGGAAAUCCCCCCCGAACCCUGAUACAAGAAAACAUUCGGCCUUUAUAGCCAAAAUACAAAAUCUUUCCGUUCUAUUCUCUGUCGUUUCUUUUUUGUCUAUCUCUUCUUUUUGUUGUUUUCUUUUUAGUCCGCGUGUCUUCUUCUCCUUGCAGGUGCCCGUGGCCGACAGUGGUGGCAGAGGCGUGCGAGUGGGCGUGGCAGACGAGGAGGCCACGCGAGGCAUGCGGCGCUAGGGUUUGGGGGGCAUCUUUCUGCCGAAAAUGUUAAUGUUGUCUGGGCUGGGUUUUUAAUUUUUGUUUUGGGCCAUGGGCUACAUUGGGCUUGUUAUUUUCCUUUGUAAUUGGACUGUUGUUUAUCUUGUUUUAAUAUUCGGGCCUGGGCAUAAAAUUGGGCCUUACAGCUGCCCCUCUUUGCUUGUUAUCGUGUAACGAGAACAGAGCAAAGACUAAGAAAGGCCAAUUUUGCCCGGGCUCGCCGAGUUUUGACUUCUUUUGGUGCUUCCUUUCUUCAAGUAGCCUCAUUCUAGUCCACUGUGUCUUAUGAUAUAUGCCUUGUAGUUUAAAUCUACUCCAAUGUGACUUCAAUCUGCUCUUUUAUCACUUCAGUGAGAUGAGAUUCGUGAUCUUCUCUUUUGUAACUCUAGCGAGACAAGAUUUGAUAUCCUCGAUCAGUUCCACUGCGACCUCAGGGAGACAAGACUUGCAACUUUUGACCGGCUCCACUGCAGCUUCAGGGAGACCAAGUCUGGUGUCUUUCAUCAACUUCAAUCUUUAUUCUUACUUGGCAUGUGAUCUUGAGCCCAACUCAUUUCUCGCAAUAUGAAUUGACUCUUUAAAAACAGACAUUAAAAACAAAAACUAAAGAUAUCUCAACAUGUGAACUGAGGCUCAACUCACUUUUCGCAAUAUGAGUUGAUUUUUUUGACAACAGAAAUUGAAAUUACCUCAGCGUGUCCUAAGGCUCAACUCAUUUCUCGCAAUAUGAGUUGAAUUUUGAAAAGCAGAAAUUGAAAAUACCUCAACGUGUCUUGAGGCUCAACUCAUUUAUCGCAAUAUGAGUUGAAUUUUGAAAACAGAAAUUGAAAUUACCUCAAUGUGUCUUGAGGCUCAACUUAUUUCUCGCAAUAUGAGUUGAUUCUUUCAAAAACAUAAUGACAAAAACAGAAAUGGAAAAUACCUCGGUAUGACCUGAGGCUCAACUCACCUCUCGCAAAUUGAGUUGAUUUUGAAAACAGAAAUUGAAAUUACCUCAGCGUGUCCUGAGGCUCAACUCAUUUCUCGCAAUAUAAGUUGAAUUUUGAAAACAGAAAUUGAAAUUAUCUCAGCGUGUCCUGAGGCUCAACUCAUUUCUUGCAAUAUGAGUUGAUUUUGAAAAACAAAAAUUGAAAAACAGAAAUGAAAAAUACCUCAACAUGUCCUGAGGCUCAACUCACCUCUUGCAAUAUGAGUUGAUUUAGAAAACAGACAUAAAAACAGAAAUUGAAAGUGACUCAACACGUGAGCCAAGGCUCAACUCACCUUUCGCAAUAUGAGUUGAUUUUUUUUGAAAGUAGAAUUUGAAAAUACCUCGGCGUGCCCCGAGGCUCAACUCACCUCUCGCAAUAUGAGUUGAUUUUUGAAAAAACAGAAAUUGAAAUUACCUCAGCGUGUCCUGAGGCUCAACUCACCUCUCGCAAUAUGAGUUGAUUUUUGAAAAACAUAAAUUGAACAGGAAUUGAAAAUACCUCAACGUGUCUUGAGGAUCAACUCACCUCUCGCAAUAUGAGUUGAUUUUUUUUUUUGACAACAGAAAUUGAAAUUACCUCAGCGUGUCCUGAGGCUCAACUCACCUCUAGCAAUAUGAGUUGAUUUUGAAAAACAAAAAUUGAACAGGAAUUGAAAAUACCUCAACGUGUCUUGAGGCUCAACUCACCUCUCGCAAUAUGAGUUGAUUUUCUUGAAAAGCAGAAAUUGAAAAUACCUCAAUGUGUCUUGAGGCUCAACUCAUUUCUCGCAAUAUGAGUUGAUUUUUUUGACAACAGAAAUUGAAAUUACCUCCGCGUGUCCUGAGACUCAACUCACCUCUAGCAAUAUGAGUUGAUUUUGAAAAACAAAAAUUGAAAUUACCUCAGCGUGUCCUGAGGCUCAACUCAUUUCUCGCGAUAUGAGUUGAUUUUUUUGGAAAGCAUGAAUAUCAAAAUACCAAAACUAGUCCUUUGGUAGAACUCGGGUAUCUUUUCCUUUGAUUCAGUGCGACUCUCAUUCAAGAUUUCUUGCUUUACUGGAUUACCUGUAUAUGCCAAGCAUGAUGUCAUCAUGAUAUGCACAUGUUUGUCUUAAAUGUCUUUAUGCCUACAUGAUUAUGCAGUGUUCCUUAAGCAUAUUGGUCGUAUGUCAUUUUCGCCAUGAUUGUUGAGGAUCUGCGUUCAUUGCUUUGAUUCUCGACCUUCUCUUCAGGCCUCAUACCUGUCUUCGAGCUUUACGAGUAAUCGACGUUUCUCAGAUAUCACCCUUUUGCCCUUGGUUAAACUUUGUUCUUGCUUUGAAGAUCUUGCACUUAUCAAAUUCUUAUCCGGAUAAUGCUUGACAUUUCUUUUGUUUAGAGUAUGUUAUUUCACUAUUUAUCAUUAAAUAAACACAUAAUGAGAUGCAUGAAAAUGGUCAGGUAAGGACAAAAAGGAUAUCUCAUAUUCCUUUAUUUCAAAUGCGGCAAACAAAGAAAGUUAACCAAUGAGAGUAAAAAUGUCAAAAAGAAAGAAAAGGUCGUAUUCAACGGAUACAAAUGCUCUAGAUAUUCAACACAUGAACUCUUCCACGUUCCUCAAUCAAUAAUCUUUUCGAGCAUGGCUUCUUGCGUAGAAAAUUUCAAGCUUUCAGAAGUGCUUCAAAUACUGUAGUCUCACUACUUGACCUAUCAUUCGACCGCCAGGUUUGUUUCAUUAGGACGCCCUCUCGGGUUUUCAUCCUAAUCUUUUUGUACUAAUCAAGACGCCCUUUUCGGGUUUUCGCCCUGAUCCCUCUUUUUUUUAUUUUUUAUUUUUUUUAAGAUGCCCUUUUCGGGUUUUCAUCUUAAGCAUAACAUUUCUUCACCGCAUCUGAAUUCACCGAAUUCGGUAACUCCUUCCCAUCUAUCUCGGUAAGGAUUAAAGCUCCUCCUGAGAAUGCCUUUUUUACAACGUAUGGUCCUUCCCAAUUUGGUGCCCAUUUUCCUCGCAGGUCUUUUUGUAUUGGGAGAAUCUUUCUCAGAACGAGUUCUCCUUCAUGGAACUCUCUUGGUCGUACCUUCUUGUCAUGGGCUGCAAUCAUUCUCUUUUGGUACAUUUGCCCAUGACAAAUUGCCUUUAGACGUUUUUCUUCAAUGAGGUUCAACUGAUCAUAUCGAGCUCGAACCCAUUCUGCUUCUUCUAACUUUGAUUCCAUCAAUACUCGCAGAGAGGGGAUCUCAACCUCGAUAGGUAGCACAGCUUCCAUUCCAUAGACUAGAGAAAAAAGAGUUGCUUCCGUAGAUGUUCACACAGAUGUACGAUAUGCAAAUAAAGCAAAUGGAAGUUUCUCGUGCCAAUCUUUAUAUGUCUCAGUCAUUUUCCCAAUGAUCCUCUUAAUGUUCUUGUUAGCUGCUUCAACAGCCCCGUUCAUCUUUGGGCGAUAGGGCGAGGAAUUAUGAUGCUUUAUUUGGAACUGCUCGCACACUUCUUUCAUCAUCUUAUUGUUCAGAUUCGUGGCAUUAUCUGAGAUGAUUCUUUCAGGCAAACCAUAUCGGCAAAUGAUUUCCUUUUUCAAAAACUUGCACACUGCAGUCUUCGUCACAUUGGCAAACGAAGCGGCUUCAAUCCAUUUUGUGAAGUAAUCGAUAACCACAAAAAUGAAUCGAUGUCCAUUUGAAGCUUUUGGAGAAAUUGGCCCUAUGACAUCCAUGCCCCACAUAGAAAAAGGCCACGGAGAAGUCAUGACAUGAAGGGGUGAAGGGGCUACAUGAAUUUUAUCGCCGUAGAUUUGACAUUUGUGGCAUUUUCUGGCAAAAUUGAUGCAGUCACUUUCCAUUGUCAGCCAAUAAUAACCGAGUCUCAUGAUCUUUCUGGCCAUAUUGAAACCAUUGGCAUGCGUUCCGCAAAUUCCCUCAUGGACCUCUUCAAGUAUUUUUCUGGCUUCAACAUCAUCCACACAUCUCAAAAGCAUCUGAUCCUUUCCUCUUUUAUAUAGGAUAUCCCCAUCAAGAACAAAUCCCGCUGCCAUUCUUCUAAUUGUUCUUUUAUCGUUCUCAUUCGCUUGUUCGGGAUACCUUUGAUUCUUGAUAUAUUCUAAGAUAUCAUGGAACCAAGGCCGUCCGUCUACUUCUUUCUCAAUGCUACAACAGUGUGCAGGGACCUCGUAUAUGCUCAUUUUGAGGGGCAUUAUUUCUGCUUCUCUACUUGCUUUGGACAUUGAAGCCAAAGUGGCUAGGGCAUCAGCCAAUUGGUUCUCUUCUCGUGGGAAGUAAUGAAAAGUUAUUUCUUUGAAUUCCUUGAUCAAUCCAGCCACUAAAUCGCUGUACUUAAUCAAUUUUGAGUCCCUCACUUCCCAUUCUCCACGGAUUUGGUAAAUCACUAGGGCUGAGUCCCCGUACACCUCCAAGAUCUCGAUGUUUCGUUCGAUAGCUGCACGAAGCCCCAUGAUAUAGGCCUCAUAUUCUGCGAUAUUAUUGGUACAGAAGAAGUUCAGUCUUGCAGUGAACGGAUAAUGAUUCCCGUCUGGUGAUACCAGGAUUGCUCCAAUUCCAUGCCCUAAAGCAUUUGACGCACCAUCAAAGCACAUCUUCCAUGACUUCUCUUUUGAUGACUCGGAUUCUAUUUUUGUGAUGCACAUUAAGUCUUCGUCUGGGAAAUCGAAUCUUAAAGGCUCAUAUUCUUCUGUCAUUCGAGUUGCUAAGAAGUCAGCUAUUGCGCUCCCUUUUAUCGACUUCUGACCUACAUAGGCAAUGUCAUAUUCCGAAAGGAGGAUCUGCAAUCGUGCCAUUCUUCCUGAUAGUGCCGGCGAUUCCAUCAUGUAUUUUAUUGGGUCCAGCUUUGAAAUUAGCCAUGUCGUGUGAUACAACAUAUAUUGUCUGAGUCUCCGAGCUACCCAAACCAGAGCGCAACAAUAUUUCUCAAUGGACGAAUAUUUUGCCUCAUAUUCAGUGAACUUUUUGCUGAGGUAGUAGAUCGCCUUUUCUUUUCUCCCUGACUCAUCAUGUUGCCCCAGUACGCAACCCAUUGAGUUUUCAAACACGGUCAGGUAUAAAAUUAAGGGUUUUCCAAGGGUCGGUGGUACUAGCACAGGAGGAUUAGACAGAUACCGUUUUAUCUUAUCGAAGGCCACUUGGCACUCCUCGUUCCAUUCUCCCGGGUUAUGUUUUUGAAGGAGUCGAAAAAUUGGGUCGCAUUGGUUGGUAAGUUGAGCAAUGAAUCGAGCAAUGUAAUUCAACCUCCCUAAAAAUCCCCUGACUUCUUUCUGUGUGCGCGGGGGAGGUAAUUCUUGGAUGGCUUUUAUUUUAUCUAGAUCAACUUCGAUACCUCUUUCACUAACAAUGAAGCCUAGCAAUUUUCCCGAGGUAGCCCCGAAUGUACAUUUGGCUGGAUUAAGCUUUAGCUGAAACUUUCUCAGCCUUUCGAACAACUUCUUGAGGUUCAUUACAUGUACUUCUUCUCCUCGAGAUUUAGCAAUCAUAUCAUCGACGUAGACCUCUAUUUCCUUAUGCAUCAUGUCAUGGAAUAAUGUCACCAUAGCCCUCUGAUAUGUUGCCCCAGCAUUCUUUAACCCGAAUGGCAUCACCUUGUAGCAGAACGUUCCCCACAUUGUUAUGAAGGUAGUUUUCUCCAUAUCCUCAGGGGCCAUCUUGAUCUGAUUAUACCCCGAGAAUCCAUCCAUGAAAGAAAACAAUGAAUGUUUUGCUGUGUUGUCCACCAACGUGUCAAUAUGUGGCAAGGGAAAAUUAUCUUUUGGGCUUGCUCGAUUCAGGUCACGGUAAUCCACGCACAUUCGUACUUUUCCAUCUUUCUUUGGUACCGGGACUAUGUUAGCCACCCAUUCUGGAUAUUUGGAGGCUUGUAGGAAGCCAGCGUCAAAUUUCUUCUUGACUUCCUCUUUUAUUUUCAACAGCAUUUUGGGUCUCAUCCGUAUUAAUUUUUGCUGGAUGGGCUUGCAUUCUGGCUUUAAUGGGAGCUUAUGGACCACUAAAUCUUCAUCUAGCCCUGGCAUGUCCUAGUAUGACCACGCGAAAACAUCUUUGUAUUCGCGGAGUAAAGUGAUCAAACUAUGCCUGGUACUUUCUGAAAUAGAAGUCCCAAUCUUCACUUCUUGUUUCCUCUCUUCAGUGCCCAAAUUUAUUGUUUCCACAGAUUCUUCAUGAGGCAGAACCUGUUUAUCCUCUUGUUCCACCAUUCUUAACAAUUUAGGAGACGAGACAUAAUCUUCAGCAUUUUCUUCGGCUUCAAAUUCUCCUAAGCAAACAGCCUUCUCAAAAUCAAUUUCAAGAUUCGUAACGGGCUUAUUCAUGUCGUCAAUAUCUGAGCACCUGAAAGUUGAAUGGAAAAGGAAGCUAUAGGGGGACAUAUAAGUAUUGGAAACAACAAACAAAUGUUAUGACAUGGUAAUGAGGCAAAUGUAAGGAUGAGAAAAUGAUUAUGAAAUUAGUGAUAAUGCGAAAAAUCGUGACAAAAUGCAUCUUCAUUGAUAUUCAUUUAAACGAUAAAGAGCGAAUGCAAACUCUUACAAAAGAAUUCUAUUAUAUCUAAGGACACAAUAGAAGGUUGAUGUUUAGCAUUACUCUGAAGGCUUAUAAACUACAAGAAGCUCCUCAGCAAUCUAAUUGUUCAACAUGAAACCAGGGGGGCAAGGGCAUAUCCUCGAGACAUCUUUACUUGCACCAGCUUCUUUGUCAAUGACAUUUAUACUGACAUUCUGAAAAUCCCUUUCAAUUAAUCCCAGCAUGUUUCGUGGAUCAUCUUGUCCAGGGUACAUCAUUCCCGCAGAUGUAAAUGUUUUUGACAAAGGAGGGUACUCUAUUGGUUCCCAUUCUGGUUCUCGGCCCAAAGUUCUUGCAAUUCUUCUCUCUUGAUCCUUCUUCCACUGUCUUCUUCUUUGACGCAUGUCAGGCUAGAACCCCAAACCGUAUCGGGCCUUGUGCUGCACUGGCUUUAAAGCCCUCACUAUUCCUUGCAGAUGUCUCCCUAAACCUCUUCUCGCACGAGCUCCCCUUCCUACGGUCAACUUGACACCCAUUCUGGUAUUUCUCGACAGUUUUGGCAUCAGAAUUCUAUUUCCCUCAGCGACGAAAGUGGCAUUGAUAAAUUCAAGGGAUUGAAAGGAACAUUCCACUGCGUCCUUGCUUACUUCCAGGUAUGGCGCAUCAGUAGAGAUAGAUGCGACGAUGUCUUCUUCGCCCUCGACUGUGACCAAACAGCCAUCCAUGAUGAAUUUCACCUUUUGAUGGAGGGAUGAUGGGACUGCUCCAGCAGAAUGAACCCAAUGUCUUCCCAAAAUGCAAUUAUAAGAGGGUGUAAUGUCCAUGACUUGGAAUUCGACCUCAUAGAUGUAGGGACCCACUUCUAAAGAGAUUUCGAUCUUUCUCAUAACUUCGCGCCUCGUCCCGUCGAAUGCCCUUACCGUGGAAUGACAGGGCUUUAAGUAGGACAAAUCCAUCGGUAUUCUGGAAAGCGUAGCCAAUGGCAUAACAUUUAUCGCUGACCCAUUAUCGAUGAGUACGUUCGGUAUUAUGUAGCCCUUGCAGCGGGUCGUGAUAUGCAGCGCUUUCACCGAGCCUCUACCAUUUGGCAGUAUCUCAUCAUCACUAAAAGAGAUAAAGUUGUCCGCAUUCAGAUUGUUUACCCACCUAUCAAGCUUUUCGACAGAUAUGUUGUUGGCCACGUAAGCUUGAUUUAACACCUUCAAUAAAGCGUUCCGGUGUGGCUCUGAAUUUAACCGUAGAGAUAGAACUGAGAUUCGUGCUGGCUGCUUGCUCAAUUGUUCCACCACACUAUAUUCGCUGUGCUUAAUAAAUUUCAAGAAUUCUUGAGCUUCUUCCUCAUUCACAGGCUUUUUAGUUUCUUGCACGGGUGGAAUUUCUUGCUCGACUUCGACCUCGUACAUCACUGCUUUCCCUUUUUGCUUUGAGUCGCUACUUUUCUUUACCGGUUCAACUUUUUUAGAAUAGCAUCGUCCACUUCUAGUAAAAUGACCUACCUCCCCAACAUCUUCAGUUAUGGCUUUGGACUUUUCAACUUUCGGUGUAACGAUAUUAACAUCAUAUUUCCACGGUACUAUUUUGUUGUCCUUAUACGGGAAAGGAGAUGGUACUUCAAUUACCAUCUGUGGUUUCAAUGGCUCUCUCAUCGCGUCGUAAUAAAUUACCAACGGUCGAUCAGCACUAUAAGGGGGCCCUGAUGAUUGGCUAUCAGAGACGCAUACUUCUCUUUCGUUGGCAUCUUCACUCUUGUUAAGGACCUUGAUCUCCUUAUUAUCCAUCCGGUCUUGAAGUAACCUUUUAAAGUCCUCACAUGACUGAAUGUCAUGUCCAACAAUCCCAUGAAAAUUGCAAAAUCUUUGACCUUCUUCUCCAAAAAUUCUAUCAGAGUGACAGAGCAAUCAUUUCUUAACCAAUACCUCCCAGAUUUUUUGUAGAGGCGUCCUUAUUUCUGAUACACAUCUUCUGACCUUCCAUUCAUCCUCUUUCCCCACUGUGCUCACAUUCCCUUCGGUAUGGUUAGGGAACGGGUUCCCCGUGGCGUUACUAGCACUAUCGAAUCGUAGGAUACCCGCGUCAAUGAGUCCUUGAACUCUCCUUUUGAAAGCGAGACAGUUCUCAGUAGAGUGCCCUUGGUUCCCUGCGUGGUAUGCACAACUAGCGUUUGGAUCGUACUACUUUGGGUAUGGAGGUUUAAGGGGUGCCAUGUAAUGGGGAGAAAUUAGCUAUUUUUCUAAAAGUUUUGGGUACAAUUCCCCAUACGACACAGGGAUGAGGGUAAAUUACGGUCUCUCGGGAUUAUGCCUUGAUUGGCUUUGGACGGGUACCAUGUUUUGUGGAAAAAUGGUGACGGGUCUUUGGUUGUUCGUGGCGUAUACGGGGCAGGACGGAUGUGGUGCUUGGUAGUAAGGGGUUUGAGGGGGAUAAUAGGAAUUCGGGGGUGGAUAAUUUCGAGGUCGGGGUUGGUUAGGAUACGAAUUGGGAAUGUAACGACUUCCAGUUCCCACCAUGUGGGCUUCUGGCUCUUUCUUCCUUAAGGGUGCUACUUUUCUUGAGCCUUCUGAUCCUUUCAUUCUACCGCUCUUGACGGCAUUCUCUAUGAGUUCACCGGAUAUUACAAUAUCCGUGAAAUCUUUCGUGGCACUUCCCACUAAUUUGUCAUAAAACGGUGCCUUUAAAGUAUUGAUAAAGAGAACGGUUAUCUCCGUUUUUGUUAGUGGGGGUUCCACUUGAGCUGAGAUGUCUCUCCAUCUCUGCGCAUACUGUCUAAAGGUCUCUGAUGGCUUUUUCUCCAUCAUUUGCAAGGUCAUACGGUCUGGUACCAUAUCCGAUACAUGCUUGUACUGUUCGCAAAAUGCUGACGCCAAGUCCUUCCAGGAUCGAAUCUUUUCUCUACUAAGUUGAUUGUACCACCGAAGAGCUGACCCUGUUAGACUAUCUUGAAAGCAAUGUAUGAGUAGUUUAUCCUCGUUCACAUAACUGGUCAUUUUUCGACAGAACAUAAUGAGAUGUGCUUUCGGGCACCUUGUCCCAUCAUACUUCUCAAAAUCAGGCACUUUGAACUUCGGAGGCAAAAUUAGAUCAGGUACCAAACUGAGUUCCUUGGCACCUAGUGCGGAGAAGACUUCAGUGCCUUCUAUUGCUUUGAGUCUUUCCUCUAGACUCCUAUAUUUUGCGUCAUGGUUAUCCAAUUUCAACUUGGCUACCUCUGCUGGGUCAUCCAGAUCUGGAACUAGUGGAUUAGCAGAACUAGCCCCUGGGUUCGACGCUAACAUUCCUUGCCCCAAAUUAGUGGGUGGAGCAGGUGGCAUAGGUCGAUGUUCCAAGCCAGUGGGUUCCUCUUGAGUAUACCCUCUUUGUAUUGUAUAUGCGGGCGGUGGAGUGAAUCCCGGGGGAUAGAGUGGAUCCUGAUCAUGGUGAAUUCUUGACCGAGGUUCCAUAACAUCGGGGUUCUGCAUUUUUCCUUUGACCAAAGUUGUCAUCAUCUCCAUCAUUUUAGCCAUCUGAUCUCUUUGCUCGAGAGAUUCCCCUCGAGAUCUCACCAUUAGGUCUCUCGUCUCUUGUUGCGAUUUGGCCAGUUGCUCUUGUAAUUCCUUUUGAGCCCUUUCCAUCCUUUCAAUUCUCUCAUUGAAUUCAUUCUCCAUUACUCUAGCUUGUCGGCGCGUUUUAUACGGAUGACGUGGUUCCAGUCUUGAAGUCUAGCAACUGCGAAUUGUACGUUUUAACCUAAGCGAACGAGUAUGGGAUAUGCAAUGAAUGAACUGAUGCAUGAAUGAAUGCAUGAAUGUCAAAUGAAUGUCAGUUAUGACUGAAAUGCAAGAAAUUGGUGUUGAUUUCAAGAUAGCCCCAUAUUUAGGCAUUUCAUUUAUCAACAUAGUCUAUUACACAAAGUUCUCAUUUUUCCAACAGUUACACAAAUUUCCUAGCCACAUUGCCUUGUUUCUUCACUUGCUCUAAAAACUCUGAUAUGCUCGAUCUUUGGCUCGAAGGGAAUUGGCAACUGAGAACUUCGGCUUCAUCUGAUAAUUGAACAACUUGCAUAGCCGCUUUACGAAUUUCAUUGAUUAAGAAGUCAAGUUGCAUUUCUUUUUCUUUGAGGGUUCCUUCAUACGCGUGAAUGUCCUUAUCGUACUACUCACUAUUUUCUUCUAGAGCCUUCAAGAGGUUAUCUAAUUGUUGUUGACGAGAUUGCAGCAUAUUUUCUAGAUCUCGUGUUUUCCUUUUUAAUUCUUGAUGUUCAGACUGACUAUUCGCCAAUUUUGCAGCCACUAUUUCAUACUCGGCGUUCUUCCUUCUUAACUCUAUCACAGCGCGCGCAGCCUUUUCCUCCUCUUUCUUUGCUUAUCCCUUCCAAAACUCCAUUCCUCCCUUGAUAUUGCUAAUUUCUUCCUUCCAUUCUGCUGUCGACUUGCCCAACCCGCUAUUCUUUAUAGUGUUUCUUAAUUUCUUGUUUUCCAAAUGAAGGUCCCUUAAGUCGUUUCUCACAAUCUCGGCUUCUCUUUGUACUUUUUCAGUCCUGGACCUUUCAACCUGAACUUCAAUCUUCAGUUGAUAGUUUUCUUCUUGAAGGGCACUAAGGUCCCGAGACAUCUUGGCCUUUUCUCGUUCGAAUUCUUGUCUUGCCAUUUCUAGCUCAGACGGCGUUUCCUCCGAGAAAGGAUUCUGGAUGGUGUAGUUUGUUGAUGAGAUUUGCUGACUAUUUACCCGUUGCUUCCUCCAUAUGUCGUAAUCUUGGGUAAGGGUAUCAGCAUACAAAGCUAAUUCCAUGAAAUGAAUUUCCUUCCAAUACUUUGCAGUGUCCCGGACUCUCUUCAUAUAUCCUUCACCCGCGAAAGCGAACUCGAACUGUGCUAAUCCUCCAGUUGCGGGGAGGAAUUGUCGUGAAGAAAACUGCCUUUGAACUAAUAGCGGGGCAUAUCCAAUUCCUCCCCAUAACCCGAGUAAAGGUACCCAAUCUUGGCUUCCACAUUUGUAUAGCAAAACUGAAGGACGGAUCCAGGGUGCUCUCCAUGUUAUAUUCUCGGCGCGAAGAUUCUAAAAAACUGAUACCCAAUGUUGCUUGGUGACUUCCUUCGGCCAUUCUUUAUUGAGGUAAGCUUCUAGCGGGGAGAAUGUUUUAGAAAACAUAUGGAACGGAGUGUGCUCUACCUUCCAGAAGUGACUCAAAAUCCAAACAUUGAGCAACUGCGCGCAUCCGAUAAAUCGUCCCUCCCCUUUUCUUCUACAACUACUCAGGGACCUGAAGGUCUCGGCUAGGAUGGUCGGGACAGGGUUGAUUCCUUGUUUUAACCUUUCGAAGAAAUCAACUACUGCAACUUCGAGAUGUCCGAGAACUUUUGGGAAAAUGACCAAACCGUAAAUGGCCAAAGCGAAUAGAUUUACCCUUUUCAACAUGUUGGGAUGGUUCAGAGCCAAAUCUCGUAGGGAGGACCAUGGAAUGCAAAUGGUUUCAUUCUUCUUCUUUAUCUGUUUUUCGGCCCAUGCAUCAGUCAUGUCUGUCAGUCUCACUAACUUUUUCUUGAAGGUCAUCGGCUUAGGCUCUUUCACAUAUAUUUUGCUGAAUUGUACAUUGUCGAUGCGGAGUAAAGCAGCAUACUCUUCUAUGGUUGGAGUCAUGUCUUCUUGAUUGAAGGUGAAACACUGAUAAGCUGGGUCCCAGAAUCGAACCAUGGCUUGAAUCAACUGUUCGUCUAUACGGAUGGUGAUCAGGUGAGCUAUAUCUCUAUACCUCUCAGUGAAAAUGUCUCUAGUGUCUGAAUCCCACUGAUUCCAAAUUCGAACCAAAUCCUCAAGGUUAUUUUGGCGAACAUUUACAGUUAUAUGUUCGGGCAAAUUGGGGACACAUCCUUCCACUAGACUAUCCCCCUUUUCUUUCUGAAUUUUUAGAGACCAGUCCCGAACCACGGCACUCUUCUCGGUUAUUUGUGUAAUUGACUCCUCCAUCAGAAACCCGUUUUUUGGCAACCAACCCUUAGUCAACACCUUCUUAAUAUGAUGCCUAUGAUGCAUGAUGAAAAUAAAAGUGAAAACAAACAAACUUGGUUAGUAAACACAACAAAUAUAAUUUGAAAAAUAAAUUAAACUACCCAAUCCAAUUAUUUUGCACAAACAGUGUAAAUGGAUGGCAAAAGGUAUUUUCCCCGUAUACUUGUUUUGGUGACUAUAAGCGGACAGAGGUUCGGCAUGGCUCUAAUUGGAUAGCUCGUAUGGUUCACUAUAUGCGGUUUUGGUUCUAGGUGGGUACUCGAAUUGCCCGUACUAUCAUCUGCUAAGAUUAGCACAGAGCCUCGGUCAUGGCCCAUCAUAGGCUUACGAGAUCAAUUCGAGGGAUUACAUUUACUUAUGCCUAUGCGGAGGGACAAGUUAACUCACGAAAGCAUAAGUCAUAUGUAACCCGAAAGUAUUCACUAGCCUGUGCGGAGGGACGAGUUAACUCACGAAGGCGUAGCAUUUACUUUCACUUAAACGGACGGAGCCCGGGUAGAGAGCUCAUGUUAUGCGAAAAUGCAAGUACACGGUGUGUGGGGAACAACUCAUAAACCUUUACGUUUCACUUAAAGAAACUAAACCAAAAUUAAAACCAUAAAAAUUGAAACACUGAAAAACAACCAAAUAAGCAAGUUAGAAGAAAUAUUUACAGCACGAUACAAAUGCAUGAAUUUUGAAAACGAGAUUUUCGGAUCAUGACCAAAUAUUUACUUUGAACAAGGAAAUUUGAAAAUUUUGACAAAAUGUGUUUAAUUCCAGACACGACUCUCAACAAGGCGGUCCCCAGUGGAGUCGCCAGCUGUAGCGACGUAAAAAUUGGUUCCGGGGUCGCUAAUUGUGGCGAUCUAGUGAAAAAGUUUGGAAACUGAAGUUCAAUUUUAAAAUAAAGAGGGAGUCGCCACCGAUCUUUUUUACUAGGUGUGACCGGACACCUGUCAGACUUCUUUUUUUUAAAACAAAAGGAAGGCUAAAUUUAAGUCUACGUUAAAAGCCAGAGGAAAAUUAGGGUUCGGGAGUCGGUUACGCGCAAGGAAGGUAUUAGCACCCUCGCGACGCCCAAAAAUUGGUAUCUCAUAAACACAUGUUGUCUUAAUUUUCAAAAAUACGGUUCAAUGUAAAAUUUAGUCGUGAUCCGAUUAAAAAACAAGACUUUAGUUUAUUCCGUUUUUUCUUUUAAAAGGGUAUAUCACUUUAACACGAGUCAAAAUACGUUCACCCAACAUAGCGAUGAACUUGAUAACUUAAUGUUAAAUCGAUAUAUUGCCUUGACUAUUGAAAUUAAUUAGAAAACCGGAACGUAAUUUUCAAGAGAAUGCAAGACAUAAUUGAUACGAAAUGAAAAUAAGCAAAUGAAACGACUUGACACAUUUGAAACAAAUAACAAACAUAACCAUAAUAUUAGAAAAUAAUAACCGUGCAUGCAAGAUCAAAUGCAAUGUUAGCAUUGAAUACGAGAACGUAACAAGGAUACAAUGAAUACACAUAUGAAGAUAAUUAAGAGUAUAUACGUAAAAUAUUUAUAUAAAUAGUAGUAGUGUUAGAAAUAUACUAUACGUAUAGUGUUUGAAGUACGUAUAAGAUAGUAAAAAAGUACAUAACUAGCAACAAUAAAAUAAAAUAUAUACAUAUAGGUGUAAAAAAUAAUAUUACAAAAAGGGUAGGUAUACAUGUAUAAAAAAUAGAUGUAUUAACAAUGAAUAUAAUAAUAAAUAUAAUAGUAGAAAAGAUAAUACUAUAUGAAAUGUGUAUAUAUAUAAUAACAUAUGUAUGCUAAUAUGAAUAAUGAUAAUAAUACUAAUAAUAAUAAUAAAACACGAAGAAGUAUAUAUAAUAUAAUGAAAAUAUGUAUGUCUAUACGUAUAUAUAUGUGUAUGUAUAAGAAUUAUAAAAUAUGAUAACAUAAUUACAUAUAUAUAAAUAACAUGCGCAUAUGUGUAUAUAAUGAUUUAAAUCAAGUAAUACAAAUAAUAAGAAAAAUAUUAGGUAAAUAAAAUAUACACAUAUAUAUAACUUAAAAUAAAUAAUAAAGGAAACUCCCCUGUUCUUUUUUUUAAAACAAAAAAAUAAUAAUAACUUAAAUGAAUUAAAGGAUGAAAAUUAAAAUCAAACCAAAAUCCGAGGGUCCAAACUGUAAAUAUAUGAAAUAUGUGGUAAAGGGACUGAAAUAAAAGGCGCCGAGGACAUGGGGGACCGAUUGCGCAAUAUUCCCUGUUUGAGUAAAACAAAAACUGUAUCGAAUGUGCCGCAGAAAUGGAGGGACCAAAGGUGAAAAAUACCUAUUAUGGCAAUAAUGUGCAGAUUUUCCUCCCUUAAACGACGCAGUUUAGAAUCUUGUAUAAAUAGAAAAAGAUAAAGCCCUAAAAAGCAUCAGCCUCCAUUUCCCUUUUUUUUUAAAAAAAACUGAGGAUUUCAAAUCCUCUCAACUCCCAUUCCUCGGCCGUUCCGAUUCGCCGCCACGGCCGGUGGCCGGCGUCGCGCAAAGGGGGCUCCCGAUCCGCACGUUGAAGCACCUUUAAAGGUUCGAGCCUUGGAAAGGGGAAUCGAGGAGAAAACAAGAUCUUUGGCCCCCUCUCAAGCCCGAAUCCGACGACGGCAAAGGACCAUCGCCGGUCGGUCUAAGGGCCGAUUCAGGUGCACUCCCUCUUCCUUUUUUUUAUAUUUAUUUU